rnacentral:rRNA from 1 species
UAUAGCAUUUUUUAAAAAAAAAGUUAAAAUAAAAAAAGCUUUUUUAUUUCUUAGUACUUUUUGGAAAAGAAAAAUUUUUUAAACCGCCAGGGUUUAAAAAAUUAUUAACAAAGCAAGAUAUGUACCUUUUGCAUCAUGGUGUAUUGAAUAAUAUUUAAAUUUAGAUUUCCCGAAUUAAAAAGAUCUACAAGAUUUUGUAAGGUUUAUGUUUUAUAAUAAUCUUUAAAUCUCUUGUUGAAGUUAAAAGUUAUGCGUUUUUUAAGUUAUCUGGUUCUUUUGGAAAUAAAUUAAAUUUAGGAAAAUUUUUUUUUUGUUUUAUAAAUUAAAUUUUCUAAUUUUUAAGGGGGUAAGUUCUUAAAAUGAUUAUAAGAAGUUUAUGAUUUAAAUAAUUUUUACUUUAGGAAAAAGAGAAUUUUUUGGUCUUUAAUAAUUUACAAAAGUAUAAAGAUUAAUUUAUAUGCUUUAAUAAUAAUAAUACAAUGAGUAGUUUACUUUAAAUAUAAUUUAGGAACUCGGCAAAAACUUUUUCUGUCUGUUUAACAAAAACAUAGCCUUUUUUAAAAAUAAAAGGUAAAACCUGCUCACUGAAUUUUUAAAUUUAAAGAGCCGCAGUAAACUGACUGUGCAAAGGUAGCAUAAUAAUUAGCACUUUAAUUGGGUGCUGGAAUGAAUGGUUGAACAAGAAAAAAGCUUUCUUAUUUAUAAAAAAUGAAAUUGAAUUUUAAGUGAAAAUGCUUAAAUACUUAUGAUAGACGAGAAGACCCUAUAGAUCUUCACUUUUAAAAAAUUAUUAAAAAUUUUAUAUAAGUUUAAUUGGGGCAAUUAGAAAAUAUAAGAAACUUUUCUCUAAUUAAACCUAAUAAUGGGAUAUAUGACCUUAAAUUUUAAAUCAAAAGAAAAGUUACCUUAGGGAUAACAGCGUGAUAAAGAGUUAGAAGAACUUAUUUUAACUUGUGUUCACGACCUCGAUGUUGAAUUAAGAUUUCAUUAAGAAGCAAAAAUCUUAGAAAGUUAGUCUGUUCGACUAUUAAAAUCUUACAUGAUUUGAGUUCAGACCGACGUAAGUCAGGUCAGUUUCUAUCUUCAUAAUUAAUAGGUUUACCAGUACGAAAGGACAGUUUAACUUAUUUAAAAAAAAGAAGAAUAAAA